rnacentral:rRNA from 1 species
AUUGAACGCUGGCGGCAGGCUUAACACAUGCAAGUCGAACGAUGACUCUCUAGCUUGCUAGAGAAGAUUAGUGGCGGACGGGUGAGUAACAUUUAGGAAUCUGCCUAGUAGUGGGGGAUAGCUCGGGGAAACUCGAAUUAAUACCGCAUACGACCUACGGGUGAAAGGGGGCGCAAGCUCUUGCUAUUAGAUGAGCCUAAAUCAGAUUAGCUAGUUGGUGGGGUAAAGGCCCACCAAGGCGACGAUCUGUAACUGGUCUGAGAGGAUGAUCAGUCACACCGGAACUGAGACACGGUCCGGACUCCUACGGGAGGCAGCAGUGGGGAAUAUUGGACAAUGGGGGCAACCCUGAUCCAGCCAUGCCGCGUGUGUGAAGAAGGCCUUUUGGUUGUAAAGCACUUUAAGCAGGGAGGAGAGACUAAUGGUUAAUACCCAUUAGAUUAGACGUUACCUGCAGAAUAAGCACCGGCUAACUCUGUGCCAGCAGCCGCGGUAAUACAGAGGGUGCGAGCGUUAAUCGGAAUUACUGGGCGUAAAGCGAGUGUAGGUGGCUCAUUAAGUCACAUGUGAAAUCCCCGGGCUUAACCUGGGAACUGCAUGUGAUACUGGUGGUGCUAGAAUAUGUGAGAGGGAAGUAGAAUUCCAGGUGUAGCGGUGAAAUGCGUAGAGAUCUGGAGGAAUACCGACGGCGAAGGCAGCUUCCUGGCAUAAUAUUGACACUGAGAUUCGAAAGCGUGGGUAGCAAACAGGAUUAGAUACCCUGGUAGUCCACGCCGUAAACGAUGUCUACUAGCCGUUGGGGUCCUUGAGACUUUAGUGGCGCAGUUAACGCGAUAAGUAGACCGCCUGGGGAGUACGGCCGCAAGGUUAAAACUCAAAUGAAUUGACGGGGGCCCGCACAAGCGGUGGAGCCUGUGGUUUAAUUCGAUGCAACGCGAAGAACCUUACCUGGUCUUGACAUAGUGAGAAUCCUGUAGAGAUGCGGGAGUGCCUUCGGGAAUUCACAUACAGGUGCUGCAUGGCUGUCGUCAGCUCGUGUCGUGAGAUGUUGGGUUAAGUCCCGCAACGAGCGCAACCCUUUUCCUUAUUUGCCAGCGGGUUAAGCCGGGAACUUUAGGGAUACUGCCAGUGACAAACUGGAGGAAGGCGGGGACGACGUCAAGUCAUCAUGGCCCUUACGACCAGGGUUACACACGUGCUACAAUGGUAGGUACAGAGGGUUGCUACACAGCGAUGUGAUGCUAAUCUCAAAAAGCCUAUCGUAGUCCGGAUUGGAGUCUGCAACUCGACUCCAUGAAGUCGGAAUCGCUAGUAAUCGCAGAUCAGAAUGCUGCGGUGAAUACGUUCCCGGGCCU